rnacentral:rRNA from 1 species
UUAGAUACCCCACUAUGCCUAACCGUAAACUUUAAAUUACACCCAUAUCGCCCGGGAACUACGAGCAAAGCUUAAAACCCAAAGGACUUGACGGUACCCCACAUCCACCUAGAGGAGCCUGUCCUAUAAUCGAUAACCCCCGCUUAACCUCACCAUUUUUAGCCUAUCAGCCUGUAUACCUCCGUCGCCAGCUUACCACGUGAGCGACCUUCAGUGAGCUUAAUGUUUAUACACCAACACGUCAGGUCAAGGUGCAGCAAAUAAAAUGGGAAGAGAUGGGCUACACUCUCUAUUCUAGAAAAUACGGAAGACUAUUUAUGAAACCUAGUCAGAAGGCGGAUUUAGUAGUAAAAAGAGACAAGAGUGCUCUUUUUAACAUGGCACUGGGGUGUGUACACACCGCCCGUCACCCUCUUCAAAGCUAAUAUAAAGUCCCUAACACACCUAAGCACUACAGAAGAGGCAAGUCGUAACAUGGUAAGUAUACCGGAAGGUGUGCUUGGAAA